CCUGCAAAUCAAAUAGAAAACAUACAAAUUAGAAACAUGGGUUCAAUUUGAGUGAGCUCAUGCAAAUCUCCAGCCCUCCAGUGGGUGUGAGCCCUCACAUUCGCCAACACUUGAGCGCGUAAAACUGAAUGAAUCAAUGAAUGUGCGGCAAUAGCAAUCAGUAGGGGUAAAGAGGCAGGCAGCAUCGAAUGAGUCGAGUUUUAUGAAUGAAUGGAGCGCUGUGGAACGAAGCCGCAAAAGCGGUUCAAUUGGCAGCGGGUUCAAGAGGCCAAAAAGCUCGCUUAAUUGCGCCGGUCAUGUUGAAAUAAAUGAAUGAGUAGCUGCUCCUCCUCUAGCUAUAUGUAGAGUGAUAUAAUUCUCCCUUCAAUCGGUUUCUAAGUGGCGAGCCCUGAAGUUCAAUGAACCCUGGAUCAGCGAUUCUUGAAAGUUAUCAAAAGUGCGCUUUGGGGCCAUAAAAUUUAUAUAUUUAUUAUAUUUAUAUAUCGCAAAUUAGCAAGCACAGAACAUGAUAUUUUAUAAUUUUGCUGACUACAGGCACAAGUUAGUGGAUCGCUAUCGAUGGAUAAACAAUAAUUUAAUCAUAUUACGUGUCUUCUAGCUUCCCUUUUCCAUGGAAUUAUUGUGAGAAAUAAAAACAUGCAAAAAUG